rnacentral:tRNA from 1 species
GAAUAGUGCUUUUUAAGAUAGCGCGUUUGACUGGCAGUCAAAAGGCCACGGGUUCGAAUCCCGUAUUCU